rnacentral:sRNA from 1 species
GCAUCUGUGUUUCAAGCAGGAGGGAGAAGGAAAAGGGUUAGGGUUGGUGGGUAGGCUCAGUGCGUAGGUAGGAUGCUUGCCUCAGACACACAAGGCCCCCAACACAACCCAAGCUGGCAGUGGUGAGAUAUAAAUGCCACUUGGUGUCAUGGUUAGUUUUUGUCAACUUGACACAAACCUAGACACACCAGGGAAGAAGAACUCUCAACUGAGGAAGAACCUUCAUUGGAUUGGCCAUUGGUAUCCCUACUCUAUUCUGCCAGGUAGUGGAAAUGUAAUCUCAGUCAUCAAAACAAUACAAAGCCAACCGACCGACCGACCACCAACCAACCAAUCAACCAACCAACCAAUCAACCAAUUGAAAAACAGCAGUGCUAUGUAAAGUGCAUGUAGGUGCCUUUGAAGGCCAGAAGAAGACGUCGGAUUCUGAGGAGCUGGAGUUACAGAUGGAUGUUAGCUGCCUCACAGAGAUGCUGGGAACCGAACUCAGGUGCUUUGUAACUUGGUAAGCGUUCUUAACCGCUAAGCAAUCUCGAUCGUUCUAGCCUUAGCCCUAUGCCUUUAAUCAUAGGCUACUCAUAAUAUCCAACACAACAUGUAAAUAUUUGCUUUUCUGUGCUACUUAAGAGUAAUGGCCAGAAAAAGACGUAGGAAUGCUCGGUACAUACACGAUUGCGUGUCAGAUAUUUUCUGUCUGUCGGCGGGCUACAAAUGGAGAACUCUCGGGCAACUGCGUUUGCUGGAUAAAUGUGGAGCUAGAGGUGAUGCCUUUUGUAGACAUUUUUGAAUCAGAAUAGCAUACUGAACCUUGGGCUUGAGAAGGUCAUUAUCUCGAGAAUAAGUUUCUCAAAGCAACAAAUGGAAACAGUCUCUAAAGUCCUCAGUACAGUCUGUGGGGAGGCUUUUGUUAGAUGUUGAAAAUCUAAACAUUUCAAGGCUUCAAAAGGUAAGAGGUUCAAAAUGACACUAACAAGUAUAGAACCAUCGACUCCCCCAAAUCUUCCCUUUUAUGACUGAGUCAGUCGAUUAUCAAGUAGGGAGGCCCAGGGAGGCUCCUGUUGCAACCUAAUUCGUGAGCCUUCUCUCAUUCUAUCUGACAAGAUUAAAAGUGGAACGCUAGCUCAUUGCCCCUUCCCCACAGCCCUCCUGUCCAGGACUUAAGCCCUUGAAUACAUCUGCUCCCUGGUGCUUCCUUUGCAGCAGACAGCUAGGACCUGGAAAAAGCCUCCCAUUUUAAAGGCCGAGGUCCCCGGUUAGAAGGACCAGAUGGGACUAUUGACUGCAAGCAGGAGCUGAGAGUGUCAUCCCUAGCUCUUACUCCUCUUUCAUGAUCCCUGUUGGAUUUUCAUACAAAUUACCUCUCCCGGGGGCAUUUUCUCUCUGCCCUUCCCCAGUGUGCUUUCCCAGGCUUCAGGCUUUGUGUGUAUUUGCAAGAUACACACAGCGAAGGCAAAGCUCAGACUCCUGUUUUCUGUGAAUACUGUGUUCAGUCCGGUCCCCGCAGCCCCACCCUGACGGCACAGCCUUCUCUUGUUGCCCAAGUAUUUCUCUGAGCCCUGGGAACAGGGCAGGACGGCUAGCAGAGGGUGAGCAAACAGACGGGGAGCCGCAUUUAACACCAUCUGCCACUUCCACCGAGGUCAAUGGGAUAAACCGAUUUGCUAAACAAAAUGGUUAACAACUCAUGAAUAAAAACUUGAAGAAAAAUUCCAAAAGGGAUUUCCAUACCGUUCCUAGUCUACAGUUCGCUCAUCUUUGGCACAGCCCAGGCCCCACAACUGCUUUUGAUCAUGCACUUUUCUUGGAUUCCAGUAGGGGGCAGCUGCCAUUAGGUCUGGAGAGAGAACUCAUUUAUAAAACCUUUCUAAAAAUCCCGUGAGAGGUUCGCCUUCCACAGGGACAAGCCACCUGAGUGGUUAGCAACACCAAGUGGUCAGUUUGAAAAACAUAUGCAUCUAAGCGUCACUAAAUGGACUCAGCAGGCUGUAUUAUUAAUUCAUCCAUUUAUGUAUGCACCAAUAACAAUGAAAGGAAAAGAAGCGGUGAUUUUUGAAAG